UUGGAGGGGGUGCUACACAUGCAGUCGAACGGUGAACACGGAGCUUGCUCUGUGGGAUCAGUGGCGAACGGGUGAGUAACACGUGAGCAACCUACCCCUGACUCUGGGAUAAGCGCUGGAAACGGCGUCUAAUACUGGAUACGAGUGGCGACCGCAUGGUCAGCUACUGGAAAGAUUUAUUGGUUGGGGAUGGGCUCGCGGCCUAUCAGCUUGUUGGUGAGGUAAUGGCUCACCAAGGCGUCGACGGGUAGCCGGCCUGAGAGGGUGACCGGCCACACUGGGACUGAGACACGGCCCAGACUCCUACGGGAGGCAGCAGUGGGGAAUAUUGCACAAUGGGCGCAAGCCUGAUGCAGCAACGCCGCGUGAGGGAUGACGGCCUUCGGGUUGUAAACCUCUUUUAGCAGGGAAGAAGCGAAAGUGACGGUACCUGCAGAAAAAGCGCCGGCUAACUACGUGCCAGCAGCCGCGGUAAUACGUAGGGCGCAAGCGUUAUCCGGAAUUAUUGGGCGUAAAGAGCUCGUAGGCGGUUUGUCGCGUCUGCUGUGAAAUCCGGAGGCUCAACCUCCGGCCUGCAGUGGGUACGGGCAGACUAGAGUGCGGUAGGGGAGAUUGGAAUUCCUGGUGUAGCGGUGGAAUGCGCAGAUAUCAGGAGGAACACCGAUGGCGAAGGCAGAUCUCUGGGCCGUAACUGACGCUGAGGAGCGAAAGGGUGGGGAGCAAACAGGCUUAGAUACCCUGGUAGUCCACCCCGUAAACGUUGGGAACUAGUUGUGGGGUCCAUUCCACGGAUUCCGUGACGCAGCUAACGCAUUAAGUUCCCCGCCUGGGGAGUACGGCCGCAAGGCUAAAACUCAAAGGAAUUGACGGGGACCCGCACAAGCGGCGGAGCAUGCGGAUUAAUUCGAUGCAACGCGAAGAACCUUACCAAGGCUUGACAUAUACGAGAACGGGCCAGAAAUGGUCAACUCUUUGGACACUCGUAAACAGUGGUGCAUGGGUGUCGUCAGCUCGUGUCGUGAGAUGUUGGGUUAAGUCCCGCACGAGCGCACCCUCGUUCUAUGUGCCAGCACGUAUGUGGGACUCAUGGAUACUGCGGGUCACUCGAGAAGGUGGGAUGACGUCAAUCAUCAUGCCCCUUAUGUCUUGGGCUUCACGCAUGCUACAAUGACG
rnacentral:rRNA from 1 species